UACGUAGGGGGCAAGCGUUGUCCGGAAUCAUUGGGCGUAAAGAGCUCGUAGGCGGCUUGUCGCGUCGUCCGUGAAAACCUGCGGCUCAACUGCAGGCUGGCGGUCGAUACGGGCAGGCUGGAGUUCGGUAGGGGAGACUGGAAUUCCUGGUGUAGCGGUGAAAUGCGCAGAUAUCAGGAGGAACACCGGUGGCGAAGGCGGGUCUCUGGGCCGAUACUGACGCUGAGGAGCGAAAGCGUGGGGAGCGAACAGG
rnacentral:rRNA from 1 species